rnacentral:lncRNA from 1 species
CUGUUGUUUAUCUCUUCCUGAUCCGGUGAGUACUCCUCGCCUUCUUCGGCUUGCGGUACCCACUGGGAGGGGAGACAUGUUUACAUGUUCUCACCUCCCCCACUAUUUUUCAGGUAGUACAGGCGUUGAGUUUUGGGACGAGAUGUGAGGUACGUUCGUAGCGGUCGAUAGAGCUUCCGACACAGGUUAUCAGUUUAGUUUUAUCCCUACUAUUCUGUUGUUAUAGCUUAGUCAGUUUAUAUGGUUCAGUAUUUUUAUUACAUUGGAAUAUGUGGACUUUCAUGAAUGUAAUAAAAGGAUUUCUGGAUUUGGUAAAAUAAAAAAUUUUCUACCCCUCGUGGUAGCUUUUAUAAAAGAUAAAAGUUUUCGCGUAUGGAACAGUUUUCAAAAGAUUUUUCGUGGACUUUUGUUUAAACAUCGAAUGUAAAACUACGGUGUGAAUGGUGAAUGUAUGAAGGUAUAGCUAUCUGUUUAUUCAUUUAGUUGCAUGUGGUUGUAUACUGUUUGUACUUUUGUACUUGUGCGACGCCGUGCAAAUACAGGGGAGACUCUGUCCGUGUGAACAGUGGAUUUCCUGUAUUUGUGGCGGAUCUGGCAUACUCUGGGGUCAGGUUUUCAAAAAUUUAAACGCUUUUCCGCUGUGUUUCAAACUAAAAGGGGACCCUGGGGCGUGACAAUCUCAUUAUAUGCUGAAAUAUUAAUGUUAUUUGUAAUUUUUUAUAUCAAUUUGAGUUCUCAUUUUGUUUUACACAUUAAUAUGUAAAUGUAAAUUAUUUUGCACACCAAUUCAUAGAUAAUAGAGUAUAGUUGAAUUUUGCUCUUUACCUGAGUAUUUAUUUUGGUCCAUAAUUUUGUUUCUCUAACUUUUGUACUUUAAUAUGUAUUAUAAUUAAGAUUGAUAGUAUAUUUAUUUAUUUAUUUAAAAAUAUAAUAUUAAUUAAAAUAUUUUUUUUUAUCAUCACAUAAUAAUUUUUAUUAUUUUAUAUUAUUAUAUUAGUCGUGAAUCACAUGGCUCAAAUUCUAGUUGCAAUAAAAAACAAUUGUUAUAUAUAUUUUUUGGAAACAUCACACUUGUUGGAGGGCGAAUAUAUAAAAUAAACUACAACAAAUAUAUUUAACACUGGAAUACCAAACUUUAUUAAUAUAACUAAACUUCAGUACACUAUUACUGAAUAAUACAAUUUGAUCCACACUUCACAACAUUUCACAAAAAGACAUGACCCUAAACCAAAAGACGCAACCCUUACAAAAGGACACACCCUUUCAUAAGAAACACAACUCUUCAAAUAAAAAAUAAACAAAUAAAACAAGCUUAUAACUAACAUUCCCCCUUAAGCUUGUUUAUGCAAAACUGUCGACAUCUUCUUCGAUCGGGUCUUCAUAAUCUUGGAGUCUUUCCUGUAAGACUAUCUUGUCUGAAAUCAAACUCCUAAUUUUAGAGGCCUGCUCAUUGAUUACGUUCUCCAGGGAUUUAUUCUCCAAAUUCACCGCCAUAUUUUUUUUUUCCAAAUUUUUUGCAAGUUUCUCUAAAUACAAAUUUCUUUGAUCAAGAGAUACCAUACCUGUGGUACUCAUAAAAGCAAAGUGAGCCACAUCUUGUUCCGCAUCCUUCUUUGAUCUUUUUACAUCGCCCAUACAAGUGGAAUUUCCGAAUUCGACAAACGAAUAAAAUUCUGGAAUGUGAAUAGGUCGUUCUUGAUAAGUGCGAUAUUGUGGCAGUGGCAUCUUCAUUUUCUGACAGUAUUCUUGAAGUAGAUUUUUGUAGGACACUCUUACUAUCACUUUAUUCUCCAUGUUUUUUGCCUUUUCUAUUAUCAAGUUUCAAUUUUGACUUGAGAGCCUGCUCAGUCGACUCUUCUUCAGACAUCUUUUGUAGUCUUUGCUCAUGCACUUGGGGCGAUCCUGUCAAUUGGUCGAUAGAAAGAGUACUGAUAUCUUUUGACUCUUCUAUAGCGACAACAAUAUGCUCAAACUUUGAUGUGAGGGAACGAAGAACCUUUUCUACAACUCGUUCAUCAUUUAGUUCUUCUCCAUUUCGCUUCAUUUGGUUGGCAAUUACCAAAAUGCGAGAAACAUAAUCCGCGACACUUUCGGACUCCUUCAUUCGGAUUGCUUCGAAUUCCGCUCGAAGUUUUUGUAGACGAAUCUGCUUUACUUUGUCAUCUCCUGUAAAGACGGUGGCAAGAAUAUCCCAUGCUGCUUUGCUCGAAGUUGCUUCGGCAAUUUUCUCAAACGUCGACUCGUCUACUGCUUGGUAAAGAUAGAAGAGCGCCUUCUUANUACAACUAAAUAGAAUUUUAUUAGGAAAUACUAUUAAACACUAUUAAAUCAAAUUAUAAUUAUAUAUAUAAUUAAAUCAAAUUAAAUCAAAUUAAAUAUUUAUCAUGCAUUUUUCUAUAUGCUUGUCACAUGUCAAACUCAAAUAUAGCAAUUAGAUGAUUAAAAAUAGAAUUUUGUUAGGAAACACUAUUAAAUCAAGUUAAACCAAAUUAUAUCAAUUAAGUAUAAUUAUAUAUACAAUUAAGUCAAAUUAAAUAUUUAUCAUGCAUUUUUCUAUAUGCUUGUCACAUGUCAAACUCAAAUAUAGCAAUUAGAUGAUUAAAAAUAGAAUUUUGUUAGGAAACACUAUUAAAUCAAGUUAAACCAAAUUAUAUCAAUUAAGUAUAAUUAUAUAUACAAUUAAGUCAAAUUAAAUAUUUAUCAUGCAUUUUUCUAUAUGCUUGUCACAUGUCAAACUCAAAUAUAGCAAUUAGAUGAUUAAAAAUAGAAUUUUGUUAGGAAACACUAUUAAAUCAAGUUAAACCAAAUUAUAUCAAUUAAGUAUAAUUAUAUAUACAAUUAAAUCAAAUUAAAUCAAAUUAAAUAUUUAUCAUGCAUUUUUCUAUAUGCUUGUCACAUGUCAAACUCAAAUAUAGCAAUUAGAUGAUUAAAAAUAGAAUUUUGUUAGGAAACACUAUUAAAUCAAGUUAAACCAAAUUAUAUCAAUUAAGUAUAAUUAUAUAUACAACUAACUAGAAUUUCAUUAGUAACACUAUUAAAUACUAUUAAAUCAAAUUAUAAUUAUAUAUACAAUUAAAUCAAAUUAAAUCAAAUUAAAUGUCUAUCAUGCAUCAUUUCUAAUUACUACCAUAAAUAUUGCAUGCCACUUUUCUACUAUCACUACUUCUGUAAUUUUCACUUCAUUUUGAUAUUAUUCGGCACAUUUCAGUUAAAUAUCUAUUGAGCAGUUGUUCUUAAUUCUUAGAUUUUUAAUUUUCUAUCAUAAAUAGAAUCUUAAAAACUAAUUUGUUGCAAUAAUUAUAUCCGUUGUUUUAUAAAAAUCAAAUUUUAGAUAUUCUUCAAGUAGAGCUAAUUAUUAUUAUAAAUAUUGCAUGCUAGUUCCCUACUAAUACUCGUUAUGUAAUUUUCACUUCGUUUUAAUAUUAUUCAGCACGUUUCAAUUAAGUAUCUAUUGAGCAGUUUUUCUUAAUUUUUAGAUGUUGAUACUUUAAAACAGAAUAUAUUUUUUUAUUUUAUUACUUAAAUAUGAAACAAGUACUAACUUUUUUUUUCUUGAUGUCUUAUUAUUCUCAAGAUAUGGCACUUGGGUUUGAUUUUAUAAGUGACAUCACUCUUUUUUGAGACAAAUGGAAGAUCAAAAUCAGAGUGAUUUGUCUGUGUACUAUGCCUGAAUUUUACUAAUAUUAUGAUAUUUAUUAUUUCACUUAUUUAACAAUUUAUCUAUAUUGCUAUUGGAGCAGAUACUUUCCAUCUUCAUGCAAAUUUUUUUUUUUCCCUUCAUAUUUUCUUGAAGACCAACAUCUAUAUAUAUUUGAAUUUUGAAAGUUGGUAUGUCUCUCAUAUAUGUGUGCUUACUCUAAUUUGUGUAAAACAUGGAAGUUUAGUUGAUCUUAUUAUAUGCUGAAAUAUUAAUGUUAUUUGUAAUUUUUUAUAUCAAUUUGAGUUCUCAUUUUGUUUUGCACAUCAAUAUAUAAAUGUAAAUUAUUUUGCACACCAAUUCAUAGAUAAUAGAGUAUAGUUGAAUUUUGCUCUUUACCUGAGUAUUUAUUUUGAUUCAUAAUUUUGUUUCUCUAACUUUUGUACUUUAUAUGUACUAUAAUUAAGAUUGAUAGUAUAUUUAUUUUUUUGUUUAAAAAAUAUAAUAUUAAUUAAAAUAUUUUUUUUUAUCAUCACAUAAUAAUUUUUAUUAUUUUAUAUUAUUAUAUUAGCCAUGAAUCACACGGGUUAAAUACUAGUUGCAAUCAAAAACAAUUGUUAUAUAUAUUU